rnacentral:rRNA from 1 species
GAACAACGCUGGCGGCGUGCCUAAUGCAUGCAAGUCGAACGGGAGCCCCUUCGGGGGUCGACCGUGGCGGACGGGUGAGGAACACGUGGGCAACUCAUCCACGCGCGGGGGAUAACGGCGGGAAACCGUCGGUAAUACCCCAUGAGCUUCUUGAUUGUUGGGAUGAAGAAGCAAAGGUGCGACACCGUGCGUGGCGGGGCCUGCGGCCUAUCAGCUAGCUGGGGGGUAGUGCCCACCAAGGCGAUGACGGGUAGCUGGUCUGAGAGGACGAUCAGCCACACGGGGACUGAGACACCGGCCCCGACUCCUACGGGAGGCAGCAGCAAGGAAUUUCCGCAAUGGCGCAAGCCUGACGGAGCGACGCCGCGUGG